rnacentral:rRNA from 1 species
AUUGAACGCUGGCGGCAGGCUUAACACAUGCAAGUCGAGCGGGGUGAUGGUGCUUGCACUAUCACUUAGCGGCGGACGGGUGAGUAAUGCUUAGGAAUCUGCCUAUUAGUGGGGGACAACAUCUCGAAAGGGAUGCUAAUACCGCAUACGUCCUACGGGAGAAAGCAGGGGAUCACUUGUGACCUUGCGCUAAUAGAUGAGCCUAAGUCGGAUUAGCUAGUUGGAGGGGUAAAGGCCUACCAAGGCGACGAUCUGUAGCGGGUCUGAGAGGAUGAUCAGCCACACUGGGGCUGAGACGCGGCCCAGACUCCUACGGGAGGCAGCAGUGGGGAAUAUUGGACAAUGGGGGGAACCCUGAUCCAGCCAUGCCGCGUGUGUGAAGAAGGCCUUAUGGUUGUAAAGCACUUUAAGCGAGGAGGAGGCUCUUUUGGUUAAUACCCAAGAUGAGUGGACGUUACUCGCAGAAUGAGCACCGGCUAACUCUGUGCCAGCCGCCGCCGUAA